rnacentral:lncRNA from 10 species
AUUGUUAGCCGGAGCCGGGGCGGUUCUGGGCGUCUGCUGCCGGGGGCGCCCGAGUUGCCGGAGACGCCCGGCCCUCUCUGCCUGCCGGCUGGGCUGCCCACCGCCCUCCCUCCCCGCCCUGCCGCCCUGGGAGCUCCCCGGCCGUCGCCGCGGGGCCCGGGACUCGCUCGCUCCUCCCUCCUUCCCACCGGGCUAGGGCGGCGGCGGCAGCGGGGGCGGCAGAGACCAUCACGGGAGGAGGCAGCUGCGGCGGGGCCGGCCCAAUUACGCAGCCAACUGCCACCCGUCCCUUUUAGUGCUGUGGUCUUGAUUCAUCCUUUUAAAGGGGUUGAGAGUGGCAGUGUGACACACAAACUGUUCUUCAGAAUGAAAUGCUAGAAGUUAUCCCCACAAGACAACACUGUCCCCUUGUCCUGCAGUUUUCAGUUCAAGGUGCUAAAACUUACAAGUGUAUCUCUUGAACACAGGCAUUGAUCCUCUACCAAUGAAUAAUUGAGAGAGAAUCCUAAUGUACCUGGCUAGCUGGUGGUGAGUAGGGGCUUUGGGGCCAACUUGGUGGGCUCCCCAAGGAAACCCCUUU